AUACGGAAGGUCCGGGCGUUAUCCGGAUUUAUUGGGUUUAAAGGGAGCGCAGGCGGAGAUGCAAGCGUGACGUCAAAUUUCGGGGCUCAACCCCGUCUCGCGUCGCGAACUGCGUCCCUUGGUUGCGGGAAGGGGAGGCGGAACUCGUGGUGUAGCGGGGAAAUGCAUAGAUAUCACGAAGAACUCCGAUCGCGAAGGCAGCCUUCCGGCCCGUCAACGGCGCUCAUGCUCGAAGGUGCGGGUAUCAAACAGGAUUAGAUACCCUGGUAGUCCGCACAGUAAACGAUGGACACCCGCGGUUUGGCCUAUAUGGCUGAGCCGCCAAGCGAAAGCGUUAAGUGUCCCACCUGGGGAGUACGCCGGCAACGGUGAAACUCAAAUGAAUUGACGGGG
rnacentral:rRNA from 1 species